rnacentral:rRNA from 1 species
AGGACGAACGCUGGCGGCGUGCUUAACACAUGCAAGUCGAGCGGAAAGGCUCCUUCGGGAGUACUCGAGCGGCGAACGGGUGAGUAACACGUGGGUAAUCAACCUCUGAUUUCGGGAUACCCCGGGGAAACCCGGAUCAAUACCGGAUAAGGUGCGGGGACGUCGGUCGCCGUACCAAAGGUAGCUUCGGCCUCCGAUCAGAGACGAGCCCGCGGCCCAUUAGCUUGUUGGUGGGGUAAUGGCCUACCAAGGCGACGAUGGGUAGCUGGUCUGAGAGGACGAUCAGCCACACUGGGACUGAGACACGGCCCAGACUCCUACGGGAGGCAGCAGUGGGGAAUCUUGCGCAAUGGGCGGAAGCCUGACGCAGCAACGCCGCGUGCGGGAAGAAGGCCUUCGGGUUGUAACCGCUUUUGUCAGGGAAGAAAGCUCCGCGCUAAUACCUUGGAGUCAUGACGGUACCUGAAGAAUAAGCACCGGCUAACACGCGCCAGCAGCCGCGGU